UCAAGGGCCAGCGCGGUGGCGUCCGUCUGCGUCUCGGUUACCUCUUUAGCCAAGCUGCGCGAGCUCGGCCAGGUGCCCACAUGCUCACCCUUAGAUCUCCCGGUCUCUCUCCUCCCAUUCCGGUCCCUAAACUUGCCCAGCCCGGACCCCUAUGAGCCUUUAUUACUAAAUCUGCUUGGGUCACUCCAGCUCCUCAUGCGAAAUUUUACAUCUGGUAUCCUCGAAGCGUGCCCCCAAAUCUCACAAUGGGCUACUUUACUUGUUUUAAAUCGAAAAACUGGUAGGAGUUUCAAGUGGACUGCAUUUGCUUCUGCUAUCCUAUUGCAUUUUCCUUCCCUUUGGACUUGGUCCAGUUAUGACCUAAUGAGAAGACCAGAAGUGUGAAGUUAAUCUGUCAUGGCCAGGAUUAAGACCCGCCCCGAACAUUGUGUGUUGACACUGCAUGGCCUUGGUGGCAUGCGUCCUGGGCCCGUGAAUAGCAGCUGCACGAAGGUCAGACUCCACUUUGUCUCAUGCUCAGUGUUUUGGGAAAGGGCCUUGACCAAUUGGGCCUCUCAGGCGCAGGAUACAUUCUCAGGGGUUCCUGGCAGGUUGUAGAGCAGGCCUGGGAUUGGACCGUUCAAGCCUUGGUGUCAGCUCUCCUAGUUGUGGUGAGGCAGAUGAGGCGGUGGGAGGACCAGGAUGGAACUGCCAGACACCAGCUCUCGCAGACAAGUGCGUCAUUCAGAAGGAAAACCGGGCUGCAAGGCUGCUGGUGAUUGGUCAAAAGGAAGCCUGCCUCUGCAGAGCCCAGGAAAAUUCAAGACUAUGCUUAUGCUUCAUGGCUGAAAGCAGGGAGAAGAAUAAAAUUACAGGGUGGUAGGGAUGUUAGGGGCUGUCAAUGUUGCUCAGAAAGGCAUCCAUCCUGAUGGGUUGAUGCAAAAAUCUGGAUGGGAUUUAGCUGUUUCUGUGGAACAAAAACACAGACAAACCCAUGGCUAAUGAGAAGCCUAGAAUGAAGGUAAGAUUUAAACGCACAGUUCCAGCAGUCACACAAACGAGGUUCUGGGACUCCUGCUCUUCCCGUAGGCAAGACUUUAAAUAUUCCUGAAUUUGCUGAGCAUAUGUCUGUUGUUUUGUUUUGUCUGGAACAUGCUUCUUGAUUUCUUGCAACCUGUAUAAUUAAUAUGAAUUUUCUGGACACAUGGUGAACGGACCUGCUUAUUGGACGCAAAGUGUCCCCUAUUGGUGGCUUCUAAUAUGGUGAAUACUGAAGGUGUGGCCAAGAAUGGCCUGUAAUCCCAAAGCUUACCAAGAUUGCAUCAUGGAAACAACAGCUCCUCGCAGGGACAGAGAAAAAUGCAGUCUUCUCAUACAAGAUGUUAUACAGGUCAGGGAGCCAAAUAACGCCAUCCAAUUCAAUAGCCUACAGGGCUGGGGAAGCCACUAGUGUCUGGAGUCUUACUGUGUCCUUUUGAGGCUUAUGCAGGUCAGUUUGUCCACUGUUGUUGCUAUAGUGCCUGACAGACAUCAUAAGAGUGGCUGAACCAGUGAUGCUUGGUAUGUGGGCUUGGAUGGGCCAGUGUUUUUUUUUGGUGGGGUGGCGGGAUACUUUCCAGGAAGAAGGAAAAAUUCAGUCUCUGACCUAUGCUCAUCUCUGUGCCCUGGGAGGCUGAUCUCUAUGACCUCCUUCACCUGGGUUCUCUUGUCAUCUGGCUUCUGGUGGGGUUCAGCCAAUGAAAAGCAUUGGUCGGCAACUGAGGAGCAGGGGAGAAAAGAGAAAUUAGGGUAUUUCUCUGUGUAGACCAAACUUUUUGGUGCCCUCUUUGAAGUCUUUGGCUUGUCCCACUAUGGUAACACUAUUCCUUCCCAUUGCUCUUUCAGGCUUGGAGACAUCUCCCCCCUGUUUACUAAUCCCUGGGCACCUCACCAUCCCUUAUUUGUUCCCUCAUCCUGUUCAUACCUCUUACGUGAUCUCCUCAUUGAAUUCUGUUCAGUAAUGUCCCUUUGAAAGUUUUGUCUGUUUUGUUGUAAGACCCUGACUGAUAUCAUUUGCCUUCACCCACCCAGGCAAGCAGUACUGUAAGAAACUCCCUAGUACAUCAUCAGUGGGUUGAACUCAGGCUAAAACAGUGAGAACUGCUGCUUGGGGCCAAACAUUCCACUAUAUUGAUGACACAAGCAUUGAGUGUACUUCAUGCAUUCCAUCAUGUCCCAUGUUGGAAAAAUUGACCAAAGAUGGAUGGGUUCAAAAACUUUUGGAGGUGAUGGAUAUGUUUAUUACCUUGAUUAUGGUGAUGGUAUCACAGGGGUAUGUAUAUGUCCAAACUCUUCAAAAUGUAUACAGUAAAUAUGUGAAACUUUUGGUAUAUAUCAACUAUACCUCAAUAAAUCUGUAAAAGAAGAAAAAGAAGAAGAAGAAAUGAUUCUGCCACUCAUGGGACCUUCUUGGAUGCUUCCUGUGUGGCUACUAGCUAUGGGACUGGAGGCCCAACCUCUGAUUGGCCUAUUUUAGAAACAAGACUCUCCGUACCUAGGAAUUUCACUACAGCCUUUAUAUACCAGACAAACAACCACACAUGGGGAGGGGGCACAUGUGGCAAGAAGCCUGGAAAGUGAUCCAGUCAUCAGUAAAGCAAACCUGUGCUGGAGGCCUCCUCUCCUAUCUCCUUACCACCCAUGGAAUCACAGAUAUCAGUGUUCAAUCUCGAAGCAGGUUGUAGACUGUGGAAAUGGGACUCUACUUUCUCGUCAGCCAGGUCUACAAGAACUUCUUUCUGUUGCCAAGCCUGAAGCUAGCCCAUUCUGGAAAAAGAGACUGUCAGUGAAAAGAAAAUGACUCUGCCACCUGACAUUCUCAACUUGCAUUGAGUCCUAUACCAUCUGAACUGGAAUACCCAGAAAGUUCUGUAGUGAUAUAGAAAUGGUCCCUCCAGUCAAGGCCCAAGCCUGUUUCCUGAUACCUCAGCCAACUUCAGGAACAGGUGGUUGCCCACCCGUUAGACACAGAGAGACCCACCUACUGUUAAACGCAAGCAGUUGGCUCACUGGGGACCUCUUCAACAAGACUUCCAUAUGACAAAAAAGCAUGGUUCACUGAUGAAAUAGCUUGCUUCUGAGAUGGGCAAACCCCAUGGAAUGCCACAGCCAUAAAUUGUGGAGUUCAGCACUAGACAUGCUGAACAAUGUGGUAAACUUCAGAUGCUAUUCUUGUCUGUAGGGCACGCUGCCCCAAGAUGGACAGAAACAAACCUUUAUGCAGUGUGUCCAUUAGGGUCCUCCAAGAAACAAAUGCUGGGAUAGGAUUAGAUUCAUGAGAGAUGCACUGCGGUUGUGAGUAGGGGUUGUGAGGGAUAAAAAAUAGGGAGUGAGAACAGGCAAAAAGAGCCUCAGACCAUGAUGCAAUUCUGAUGCUUGGGAAAAGAGAAGGUGGAGGAAAGAGGAUUGGGAAGGAAGAAUCUCAGACUGGACUGCAGCUCUGAGAAUGUCUCAGCCAGGCCGAUGGAGAGUCCUGUAGCCAAAGCUGCCCACUGGAGUAGUCCAGAGACCCACGGGAUUGGCCUGCGCUAACACCCCAUCAUGGUCAGGCCUGGACUGGGAGCACCCCAGAG